rnacentral:rRNA from 1 species
GAUGGAAAGAACUUUGAAAAGAGAGUGAAAAGCACUUGAAACCGUCACGGGGGAAGCGGAUUGCGUGAGUGAUGGUGUCGCUUGUUCAGCGCUUUAUUGCGUGCAUUCUGGCGGCGCCGUGCCGGCGUGGCUGGCUGGACUGUGAUUUUGACAGUUUCGGCUGGUGAGGGCUCCCUCGUAUGAGGUGAGGACGCGGGCAAAAUGACGCAAUACGACCCGUCUUGAAACACGGACCAAGGAGUCUAGCACGGCUGCGAGUCGAAGAGUGAUUAAACUCAAGGGCGCAGUGAAAGCGAAAUUAUAAGCAAAUUGGGGAGGCGUUGCGUUUUUAACAAAAUGUCCUACCUCGAGCAUUUGUGCUGGGACCCGAAAGAUGGUGAACUAUGCCGGAGUAGGGCAAAGCCAGAGGAAACUCUGGUGGAGGCUCGUAGCGAUGCUGACGUGCAAAUCGCUCGUCGAACUUGGGUAUAGGGGCGAAAGACUAAUCGAACCAUCUAGUAGCUGGUUCCCUCCGAAGUUUCUCUCAGGAUAGCGGGCCGACACGCGUUUGUUGUUUUGUGC